AAAAUUGCUUUUACUUUCCCCUUUCUACCUUCUCUCUCUCUCUCUCUCUCUCUCUCUCUCUCUCUCCCUCUGAGGAACAGAGUUCAUGGAGAAGGUCUCCGGUCUGAACGAACGAGGAGCUCACCGUGGUGGAGCGCAACCUCCUCUCCGUCGCCUACAAGAAUAUCAUGGGCGCCCGCCGCGCCUCCUGGCGCAUCAUUUCCUCCAUCGACCAGAAGGAGGAGUCCUGCGGCAACGCCGUCCAUGUUGCCGCCUCUAGCUCUCCUCGAUCUACGAGCUGCUCGAUUCCAAGCUCAUCCCGUUCGCCACCUCCGGAGACUCCGGAAAUCAUUCUUGUUUUCUUCUCUUAGCAAGGACAAUGGGAAUUUGAAUCCUCACGCUUUAGGAAAUGGAGAAAGAAAUGGUGUGGACACCAUUGAAUAGGUAAGUCAGUUGGUUCAUUUGUUUGAGAGAUUUUAGAUGUGAAGUUUACUUUUAAUUUUGGUAGUUUGCUUUGGUUUCUUUUAUCAUUGGCCUUAUUACUCAAAAGUACAUAUUGACACCAUUGAAUAUAAUUCCCAAAGCUGUGGAUGGAAAAUCGAGUGCCACAUUGACUUUCAUAUGCAAUCAAUCAUUACUUCAAUUUUUUUUAAACUUUGAGUGCAGAGUGCAUCUGGUCCAUUUCCCCUUCUCCUUUGUCUCCCAUCGGCAUGGGAGCGAGGUCAAGGAAGGACUAGCAGAACACUCUUCUAUCUCCUCUUUUUCUCCAUAUCUACUUCUUCUCCUAAUCUUUUACGGACACCACCAUACCUACACUGCCCAAACUGCAACAUUUACUGUUGAGUUCGUUUUACAGAUUUUGGGAUUUGGAAUUAAUUGGAUGUAUGAAUUGGGUGUAUGGAAAAUUUUCUUUUGUGUUGUAUCGUGGAUCUUCAGUUCUUGACAAAUCAAGCUUGAAGCUCAGCCUUGCAUUUUUUCCUUAUGGUCUUAGCUACUGUGCUUUUACCAUUUUUAAUGAAUGACUUUUUGUCUUUUGGAUAUUCUGCAGAUAUCAAAAGAGGAAGGUAGAUUGAAGAAGGAUGAAGAAAAGAAAAAAGAAAGUGUGAGCAUGAGGAGCUGUGGGUGCCUUCAAGAAGGUAAUUUUUUGAAUCCUUCAAUUUAUAUUUUCCAACACGGUCGUCUUUAAGAUUCCUAGCUAUGUUCUUUGUUCAAUUUAUGUGUCCUCGCUUUUGUACAGUAGAUUGGCAUAUUAAUAUGCACUUCAAUUAUUGCAUAUCGUGCUUAAUGAGCUUUCUGCCCUUGGCUUUUAAUUUGUUUUAGACUUUAUACACUGGCAUGACUAAAACACGGAAGCACUUUUCACUGUAAACUGUAGACGAAGGGCUACAAAAGGCUACCAAAAGAGAGUCUGCUUCAUCCCCAAAUCUGAAGCAGUAAGCCAUCUACGUUCUCAUCCUCCCCCUCGCCGUCUCCAUAGACGUUCUCUUUUGUUGUCUUUCCAUUUCCUUGCUUUGUUUAUUUCAAUUUUUUCCUUUUUUCUGUUUACGGUUAGUAUUGCCGAUUGCCGUGGUCUUCAGCAAUAUCUACCCGUGCAUGUUGAGGAGGCAUUGCACUUGCGAGAGAUCGAAUAUGCAAGUCGAAAAUAGAUGUCAAUGAUUUUGGAGAUGGAGCUAUUGGGUCCUUUGUUAGAAAGAUGAGGUCAAUAGUAAAAUAGAGUAGUUGGUUUAGAUUGGUACGAGCCAUAGCACAUGCAAUUGUAUAGUUUCUUUGAUUUGUAUUUCCUAACUUAAAAAAAAUUGCUUGAUUGAAUUGGAAUUCAAUGCACUAAAUUUUGAUGAUCCUAUGUAGAAUUUUUGAGAAUUGAAUGAGCCAGGGUUGUUGGUCAAUGCAUUUGAAUUAGUGUCUUCAGGCA